AAUGAGAAUUCACUUUACAAACUUUAUCAACCUUCUACUUUAUAAACUUGUGGACAUCGCGCGUUGCGUGAUGCCCGUGACCGCGUGCCUAUUGAAGAAUGAGCCAACGAGUUGACGUGCGCUGCAAGCUAAGCCCCCAAAGGGUGGAGCUAAAGGGAAACCGAGUGUGAAUAGCGCGUUCGUAGUGCACGUCAGACCCGAAGCCAGGUGAGCUUGCCAUGAGCAGGGUGAAUCACCACGAAAGUGGUGAGGAGGCCCGAACCGGUUGACCGUUCAACAUCAUCGGAUGACUUGUGGUAAGGAGUGAAAAGCUAAUCGAACCUGGUAAUAGCUGGUUCUCUCCGAAAUAGCUUUAGGGUUAGCGUCGCGGUUACCUCUGGGGGGUAGAGCACUGGAAGGGUUCGACAGGGAGCAAUCUCGCGAACCCUAUCAAACUCCGAAUACCCAGAGUCAAGUACGCGGCAGUUAGACCAUGGGGGCUAAGCUCCAUCGGUCAAAAGGGAAACAGCCCAGAUCUCCAGUUAAGGUCCCUAAAUCUACGCUAAGUGCAUCACAAGGAGGUGGAGUUUCAUUGACAAUGAGGAGGUUGGCUUAGAAGCAGCCAUCCUUGAAAGAAAGCGUAACAGCUCACUCAUCGAGAGAUUCCGCGCCAAAGAUAAUCGGGGCUAAGCGUAGUACCGAAACUGAGGGUUUGUGCGCUUCAUUGAGGAAAUGUUCUUUAGAAAGUUUUUAGAGAUACCGUAGCUUAAAUUGCAGAAUGAUUUCCCGUCGAAAGGUUGUGCGUGGCCUAGGACAUGACACAAAUAAGUACGCGGUGAGAUUACGUGCUCCCUAAGCAGCGGUCUGUAAAACCGUGGAUUGCGGAUGGGCUCCGCCGGUAUCAUCUAAAAACUUUUGAGCCAAGCAAUGCUUGGCUCCUCAAUGAAGCGCACAAGCGGUAGGAGAGUAUUCUUGUCUGCUGUGAAGGAGCGUCGUGAGGCACUCUGGAGCGUCAAGAAGUAAGAAUGUUGGCACAAGUAACCACAAUGCGGGUGAAAUCCCCGCACGCCGAAAGACUAAGGUUUCCUUGGCAAUGACGAUCAACCAAGGGUGAGUCGGCCCUAAGGCGAUGGCGAGAGCCGUAGCUGAUGGACACAUGGUUAAUAUUCCAUGACUUCUUCGCAUAGUGAUGGGAGGACGAAGAUGAGUACGCAACGCGCAUUAUUGGAUUUGCGUUCGUGCGGUAAGGACGGUGUUUAGGUAAAUCCGGGCACCUGCUUUCAAUGGCGAUUCCAAGCUGAGCGUAAACCUGAAGGUUCGCCUUUGGGAAUGUUGCAGAGCCGUCUUCCGAGAAAAAUCUCUAAACUUAAUAUGCGAAGAAACCGUACCGGAAACCGACACAGGUAGUCAGGUCGAGUAGACCAAGGCGAACGAGUGAGUGUCCCCCAAGGAACUCGGCAAAAAAGCAGCCGUAACUUCGGGAUAAGGCUUGCCCUGAGCAAUCAGGGCCGCAGCGAAAGAUUCCCUGGCAACUGUUUACCAAAAACACAGCUCCCUGCGAACUCGUAAGAGGAUGUAUAGGGGGUGACGCCUGACCAAUGCGAGAAGGUUAAAUAUCGGUGGUGUGCGCAUCACACAGAGUGUGAUGUCGCGAGUUAAAAGCUAAUAAAGUUCAUAAAGUAAAAAAAGUGAACGCGAGCUCACUUUAAAAACUUUAUUAACUUUCUACUUUACAAACUUGUGCGCAUCGCGCGUUGCGCGAUGCGCAUGCUGGCUGAUAUAAGCCCUCGUCAAUGUCGGCCGUAACUAUAACGGUCCUAAGGUUCUUGAUUCAUCCGCCAGUUGGCGGAUGAAUCAAGAAGGACUGGGACUGUUAUAGAAGUGAGACCUCUCACACACUAUUUUUCGUAACGAAAUUUAAAAUUUCCGAGCGAGACGAAGGUGAAAAUUUUGAUGAAUAUCGGAAGAUAUUGAGAAAAAUUUUCAGCAAGUCAAAGCAGGAAAUUGAAAAUUGCAGUAGAAAAGGUGGUGUGCGAGAGGUCUAAGGUAAACAAAAAUCAAUUACAUCAAAUGCUACCUAUGAUGCAGUAAUGUAUCGUCAGUCCAAUUAUGGCUACCAAGAGACCAGCGCCAUACAUCCUCACCCCUUGGGGCGGAUGAAGAGAGAGUCCUUCUUUGAGGAAUAGAAGAGCGAAAUUCCUUGUCUGGUAAGUUCAGACGCGCACGAAUGGUGUAAUGACUGGGGAACUGUCUCGGGGGACAGCUCGGUGAAAAUACAGUACAGGUGAAGAUGCCGGUUACCUGCAGUUAGACGAAAAGACCCCAGAAGCUUUACUAUAGCUUGAUAUUGAACUUGUUUGUUUACUGCGUAGCAUAGGUGGGAGGGUUUGAAGCGGCGCUUUUGGGUGCCGUGGACCCGUCAGUGAAAUACCACUCUGUGAAUGGGCAUGUUCUAAUCUGUGCGGCAAAAACGCACGGUGACAGUAUCUGGUGGGUAGUUUUGUUGGGGCGACAUCCUCCUAAAUCGUAACGGAGGAGUUUAUUAAGGUUCCCUAGGCGCGAAUGGAAACCGUGCCGAUAGUGUAAUGGCAAAAGGGAGCUUGACUGCAAGAGGUACAUCUCGAGCAGGUGCGAAAGCAGAACAUAGUGAACCGACGGCUCGCUUUAGAUGCGGCCGAAGAUUAACGGAUAAAAGCUACUCUGGGGAUAACAGGCUAGUUCCGCCCAAGAGUUCAUAUCGACGGCGGAGUUCGGCACCUCGAUGUCGGCUCAUCUUAUCCCGGGGCUGGAGAAGGUCCCAAGGGUUUGGCUGUUCGCCAAUUAAAAAGAUACGCGAGCUGGGUUCAAACCGUUCAGGCUCUGAAAUUUUUCGGAUCCUGAACCUGUUUGAANNNNNNNNNNNNNNNNNNNNNACGGCGGCGUACGCUCGCAAGAGUGCACGAGAAGCUGACUGAUAUCGGUGAAACCCGACCGGCUUGAUUGCCGAGGGCAAUACCGAGGGAAGAGUUAGUUAAAAGUUCGUAAAGCUCAUAAAGUUUUAAAGCAGAUGUAUGUACAUUUUCUUUAUAAACUUUCAACUUUACAACUUUAUAGACUAAGUCACCCGUAGAGACUAAGUGUCAGCAGGCUUGGUAAAACAAGUUGAAGCUAUAGUCCAAUCCAUCCUGUAAGGGGUGAAGUAGAUGCGUGAGACAGGUUGGUCUCCUAUCUACUGCAGGCGUUGAUUCUUGAGGAGAGUUGCUUCUAGUAAGUAAUUGCUACUUUCAUGAGUAAUCAUGACUGAAAAUGCUGCUCAUAACGGUGAAGCCUUCAUAUGAUGUUGGUCUGAGAAUUGUGUCACGAUGGUCCCUGUGAUAUAGUUUGCUUGAGGACCAGAUCCUCUUUAAGGUAAUACCGUGGGAAGUCGAUCUAACGCAGAAUUAGCAUACAUUGCCGGGUUUCUUGAUGGUGAUGGGAGCUUAAUGCUCCAGAUCAAAAAGCGAAAAGAUGGCGCUAUCGGAAUUCGAUUUAUGCCAACAAUUUGUUUUUAUCAAGAUACACGGCAUGAGAAAACAUUGUAUUGGAUACAGGAAGUUUUAGGCAUCGGCUAUCUUUCCCAGCGGAACGAUGGCAUGACCGAACUUCGGAUAAAUGGUUACCGGCAAAUAAGAGACAUUCUUAAAAGUUUGUUACCAUAUAUACGAUUUAAAAAACUUCAAGCUACUGCAUUAAAAAAUGCAUGUGAUAUCCUUGCCGAUACGACGUUUAAAAUGCUAAGCAAAAAGAAGUUACAAAAACUUGUGAACUAUAUCUUGGUGAUCCAAAAUGAAAAUUACGGCACCAAGAAAAAGAAAACACAAGAAGAACUUCUUACCAUGCUAGAUUUGACCCCGUAACGACUCACGUUGAAAGAUACGUGGACUCAUAUGCUUGAGGAAUCGUCCCUUUGAGGACGACAGCUCAUAUGGGUAAGAUGCAGCCCUCCUUUCUGCGUGCAGAAAGGAGGAAGGUAUAGUCUACGCUCCUGGAAACAGGGGAUUGUGUGACGAGAGGACCGAAGUGAACUGACCUCUGGUGUAUCGGUUGUCACGCCAGUGGCAUUGCCGAGUAGCUAUGUCGGGAAUGGAUAACCUCUGAAAGCAUCUAAGAGGGAAGCCAACUCCAAGAUUAGGAAUCGUUGAGACUCCUAGGAGAUGACUAGGUUGAUAGGUGCUAGGUGUACGCACCGUAAGGUGUUGAGCCGAGGCAUACUAAUUCGUCGAAGUUCCUAUUAG
rnacentral:rRNA from 1 species